GUGGGGAAUCUUAGACAAUGGGGGAAACCCUGAUCUAGCCAUGCCGCGUGAGCGAUGAAGGCCUUAGGGUUGGAAAGCUCUUUCAGCUGGGAAGAUAAUGACUGUACCAGCAGAAGAAGCCCCGGCUAACUCCGUGCCAGCAGCCGCGGUAAUACGGAGGGGGCUAGCGUUGUUCGGAAUUACUGGGCGUAAAGCGCACGUAGGCGGACCGGAAAGUCAGAGGUGAAAUCCCAGGGCUCAACCUUGGAACUGCCUUUGAAACUCCUGGUCUUGAGGUCGAGAGAGGUGAGUGGAAUUCCGAGUGUAGAGGUGAAAUUCGUAGAUAUUCGGAGGAACACCAGUGGCGAAGGCGGCUCACUGGCUCGAUACUGACGCUGAGGUGCGAAAGCGUGGGGAGCAAACAGGAUUAGAAACCCUGGUAGUCC
rnacentral:rRNA from 1 species